GAGAGUAUAGCUCAGUGGUAGAGUACGUGCAUGCUAAGCACCAGGUCCUAGGUUCAAUCCCUAGUACUUCCA
rfam:Camelus ferus unplaced genomic scaffold scaffold993, whole genome shotgun sequence.